GAGAAGCGAAACUGCGAAGUGGAGCAAAACUCUAAAAAAACAAUCUCAGUUCAGAUUGCAGGCUGCAACUCGCCUGCAUGAAGUCGGAAUUGCUAGUAAUCGUAGGUCAGCAUACUACGGUGAAUACGUUCCCGGGCCUUGUACACACCGCCCGUCAAACCAUGAGAGUUGGCAACACCCGAAGUCGGUAGUCUAACCGCAAGGAGGACGCCGCCGAAGGUGGGGUUGAUGAUUAGGGUUAAGUCGUAACAAGGUACC
rnacentral:rRNA from 1 species